GCAUCUGCCUGCCUCAUGACAUUCAACAGACCUGAUUCCCUUCAGAACAAAACUCCCCCAGAAAAGAACCAAGCCGGAUCCCUGUGAGGGAAGAACCUGAGAGAAGCUAGCCUAGAAGAGGAGAGUCCUAAGGACUGCAGGCUGCUUCCUGGCAGAGGGCGUUUCUUCCUUCACCCUUGAUCUCUCUCCUAAGGUCUCCAGUCAGGGGAGAUCAUAAGACUUCUCUAGAGGCCAGGCUGGAGCCUGCCAGUGAGACAUGUUGCUCUUCUCUUCUGGAGCUCCAAGGGUGACUUUAAGAAGAAUGCCUGGAGGACUCAGUACUACAAGCAGCACGGGUCCAGAAUGGUGUCCACUGAAAGGCCCUCACCAGUCCUGUAGGGUGAUCUGGAAAUGUCAGGAGUUCUGCUGGAAAGGUCAACGUGAUCCGGCAAAGGCCAGGCACUGGUAGGAAAGUUGCCCUCUAAGGAGACGGCACGAAGGGCAG